rnacentral:rRNA from 1 species
AGAGUUUGAUCCUGGCUCAGCACGAACGCUGGCGGCGUGCCUAAUACAUGCAAGUAGAACGCUGAAGACUUUAGCUUGCUAGAGUUGGAAGAGUUGCGAACGGGUGAGUAACGCGUAGGUACCCUGCCUACUAGCGGGGGAUAACUAUUGGAAACGAUAGCUAAUACCGCAUAAUAGUGUUUAACACAUGUUAGAGACUUGAAAGAUGCAAUUGCAUCACUAGUAGAUGGACCUGCGUUGUAUUAGCUAGUUGGUGGGGUAACGGCCUACCAAGGCGACGAUACAUAGCCGACCUGAGAGGGUGAUCGGCCACACUGGGACUGAGACACGGCCCAGACUCUACGGGAGGCAGCAGUAGGGAAUCUUCGGCAAUGGGGGCAACCCUGACCGAGCAACGCCGCGUGAGUGAAGAAGGUUUUCGGAUCGUAAAGCUCUGUUGUAAGAGAAGAACGUGUGUGAGAGUGGAAAGUUCACACAGUGACGGUAACUUACCAGAAAGGGACGGCUAACUACGUGCCAGCAGCCGCGGUAAU